GUAGCAUCAGUCUCAACAAGAAAACAAAGAAGUUUACGGAAAGAGAUGAGAGAAACGGAAUCGACACAGGAAGGAGCUCAAGGAGUUGAAGUUGAAAAUCAUGUAGCAUCAGCCUCAACAAGAAAACAAAGAAGUUUACGGAAAGAGAUGAGAGAAACGGGUUAGUUUAUGUUAUCUUUAAAAAUUCUUCGUACAUUAAAAGGAUUUUUAUUAUUACCAUAUUUAUCAUUUAUUAAAGAAAGUUUUACAAGCUAUGUU